AUUGAACGCUGGCGGCAUGCCUUACACAUGCAAGUCGAACGGCAGCACGGGAGCAAUCCUGGUGGCGAGUGGCGAACGGGUGAGUAAUAUAUCGGAACGUGCCCAGUCGUGGGGAUAACGUAGCGAAAGCUACGCUAAUACCGCAUACGAUCUAUGGAUGAAAGCGGGGGAUCGCAAGACCUCGCGCGAUUGGAGCGGCCGAUAUCAGAUUAGGUAGUUGGUGAGGUAAAGGCUCACCAAGCCAACGAUCUGUAGCUGGUCUGAGAGGACGACCAGCCACACUGGAACUGAGACACGGUCCAGACUCCUACGGGAGGCAGCAGUGGGGAAUUUUGGACAAUGGGCGCAAGCCUGAUCCAGCAAUGCCGCGUGCAGGAUGAAGGCC
rnacentral:rRNA from 1 species